GUUAGUUGAAAAUCACUUGCGGCUUUGGCUGUAGCCGUGGGUGAGAUUCGGCGCCCAGAGCCUCCAGGGGCCUCAGCUCACCGCCCACCUCUCCGUGUGGGGAGGUGAAACCCAGGCCCCAACACGC
ensembl:snoRNA small nucleolar RNA, H/ACA box 78